CCUACGGGUGGCAGCAGUGGGGGAUAUUGCACAAUGGGGGGAACCCUGAUGCAGCGACGCCGCGUGGGGGAAGAAGCGUUUCGGCGUGUAAAGCCCUUUUGGCAGGGAAGAAGAUGACGGUACCUGACCAAUAAGCACCGGCUAACUACGUGCCAGCAGCCGCGGUAAUACGGAGGGGGCAAGCGUUACUCGGAAUCACUGGGUGUAAAGGGGGCGUAGGCGGGAAUGCAAGUCAGGUGUGAAAGCCCGGGGCCCAACCCCCGGACUGCACUUGAAACUGCAUGGCUGGAGUAUGGGAGGGGUAGGCGGAAUGCUUGGUGUAGCGGUGAAAUGCGUAGAUAUUAGGAGGAACACCGAUGGCGAAGGCGGCCUGCUGGAAUAUGACUGACGCUGAUGCGCGAAAGCGUGGGGAGCAAACAGGAUUAGAUACCCGUGUAGUC
rnacentral:rRNA from 1 species